GGGGCCCGCACCAGCGGUGGAGCAUGUGGGUUUAUUCGAGCAACGCGAAGACCUUACCAGGUCUUGACCUCCCUCUGCCAACCCUAGAGAUAGGGCUUUCCCUUCGGGGACAGAGUGACAGGUGGUUGCAUGGUUGUCGUCAGCUCGUGUCGUGAGAUGUUGGGUUAAGUCCCCGCAAACGAGCGCAACCCUUGAUCUUAGUUGCCAGCAUUUAGUUGGGCACUUUAAGGUGACUGCCGGUGACAAACCGGAGGAAGGUGGGGAUGACGUCAAAUCAUCAUGCCCCUUAUGACCUGGGCUACACACGUGCUACAAUGGACAGAACAAAGGGCUGCGAGACCGCAAGGUUUAGCCAAUCCCAUAAAUCUGUUCUCAGUUCGGAUCGCAGUCUGCAACUCGACUGCGUGAAGCUGGAAUCGCUAGUAAUCGCGGAUCAGCAUGCCGCGGUGAAUACGUUCCCGGGCCUUGUACACACCGCCCGUCACACCACGAGAGUUUGUAACACCCGAAGUCGGUGAGGUAAC
rnacentral:rRNA from 1 species